rnacentral:rRNA from 1 species
GUCCACGCCCUAAACGAUGAUGACUAGUUGUUGGAGGAGUUAAAUCCUUUAGUAACGCAGCUAACGCGCGAAGUCAUCCGCCUGGGGAGUACGGUCGCAAGAUUAAAACUCAAAGGAAUUGACGGGGGCCCCGCACAAGCGGUGGAUGAUGUGGUUUAAUUCGAUGCAACGCGAAAAACCUUACCUACCCUUGACAUGUCAGGAAUCCUCCAGAGACGGAGGAGUGCCCGAAAGGGAGCCUGAACACAGGUGCUGCAUGGCUGUCGU